rnacentral:lncRNA from 1 species
UUUCCCCUCUCGCACUCUUUCCAUUCCCCCACCCGCCCCCGGCCAAACCGACCCGUUCCCCCCUCUCCUCCGCGUUAUCCCAGGUGCAACCGGAUGACAGAAUCAAAGCCGGUUCCGAUUUACCCCCGUUGUCCUCCUGGGAGAGCUCGGAAGGCUCAGGGACGGCUCGAGGUGGGGCGAUGCGCUCCCGCUCCCCAUGUGCUCGGCGAGGUGGCUGCCUCCCACCCGCCCUCCGAGCUGCCUUCCCCUUAAUUGGCUCUAUCUUGAUGUGCACUUGUUUUGUUUUGCCUGUUUUAACACUGGGGACGAGAUAGGCAGAAAAAGGAGCGUUUGACUCGCCGCCUGGACUCUCACAGUUCUUCGGUAGCUUUUCUGAUCCAUCAUGUCAGCCUGGCAGCUGUGCCUCUGCGCUCUGCCUGCUGCCCACCGCCAGCCAGAUUUCAGCCUCCUACGUGUGGCAUGCCCUCUUCCCUGGCUGUCCCCUCACCGGAGAGCUCAUUUUGCCUGCGCCUCUAUUUAAUGGAUUUCCUGUAACUGGAAGAACUGCUUUCUCUCAGGGGUCUUCUUAGCCCACGGCACCAGCUCCACAAGCACAGAGGAGUGUGUGUUCCCAGAUGUACCCAGGCCCACUCUGUUCUCCAGCCUCGUUACAUGGGUUUCUGUCUCUCCUCAGCAUCCCCUUGAAUGGCAUCUACUGCACAUAACUUUUCGGACCACAAAGCUGAAACACUUCCUGUGACUCAAAUGGCUCCAGCACAGCUAUUUCCUAGAAGACAUCCUCCCUGAUUUCUUGUGGUGCCUGUUAGAUUGCUGAAGUUGCAGUGCAGAGAUAAACCAGAUACCAGAAUAGAGGAACGUUUCUCAGAAGGACCAGUGAGACAUCUCCUGACCUCUGUCUCCAUCUGAGGAUAUAUCUGGAGUAGAGCAGAGAAGCAGAGGCACCACAGACUACAGAUACCCAUGGGGAAUGUUGUUCUGCCUCAAGGUUCAGCUCUACAAUAUGGCCAUGGACCGUAUAUACCCAUAGGUUCCUGUGAGUGGGUGAAGUGGGUGAGGGUUUAGACAGAGGCUGGGAUGAGUCUGAAGGGAUGCUGAUCUGGGUGGUGGGGGACUGGGACUCCAUGGCAUACUGUCACAAAUCAAAAGAUAAGUCUAGUUACAGCCAUUCAGCCUUUGAUUUUCUCGCCUUCCUCCUAAACUAUUUUCCCAAGAACUUAUUUGUCUCAGUCUGCGUUUUCCUUAUCUGCAGACAGGGCUAUGAGGCAUACCAUACUACAAUGAAUAUGGGUACUCACUCCAUGCUGGGCUGUGGGAGAAAGUUUUGCACAGCUCUAGUAAAACAGGUGAACAGCUACAGGUUUGAAAAGCCUCCUAGCCUUCCCUGAACCUCAAAAGGCCCAGUGUAGGAUUCCUCACCCAUCCUGAUUAUCCAUAAGUAGAUCAGACAGCAUCUCAUUUCCUAGACACAAACAUUCAGCGGUGUUCUGCAGUUGCUUCAAGAGUAAAGAAAAUUCCUCCUGGCUCCUACUGAGCAGUCACUGGCAUUGGUCAACCAUAGCACACCUUGUCUUUGCCAGAAGCCAGUAUCAGACAAUAUGAAAGGGAACUGCCCCCUCCUUCCUGUGUAUGUAAAUGUAUAACAGUUUACCACGGAAGAUGAUGCCUUUCUGACUCCAUCUACUGACUAGCUUUUACCAAGAACUACUGACACUAUUACAUAAUACUUGUUAGUAAAACUCUCACAGAUUUUUUCAAGGCCAGGAACAACCAUUAUUAUCAUCCAGUCUGAUCUUCUGCAUAAUAUAUGCUACUGAAUUUAACCCAAUCUGAACUUGGUGUGUAGAUUUGCUUUUAUGUCUCAAAAUGCCUCCUCAUUUACAAAUAUGAUACUGUUUCACCGAGUACUAUCUGUGCAGCAGCAAGUUCCAUUAAUUAACUGUACAUUGUUUGGAAAAGCAAUACCUCUUAUCCGUUUGAAAUUCGAUACCUCUUCGUUUCACCUUGCAGGAUAGGAAAGGGUUUUUAUUCCUUUGCUGCUAAUUAGGUUGGAGGAUCAUGAGGACAAAAUGUUAUUUAUAUUAUAGUCGUGCUUAAGGAGAGCUCUGAUGAAGCCUGGGGAUCCCACUGCACAAAGUGAGGGAGACCGUGCAAUUCCUUCAGGACUGAGACUAUUUGAAUGGACGAAUGGCAUAUUUUCAAAGGAGCUGAACGAUUUCACCAAAACGAAUGUCAGACAAGUCAAUGGAUUCAUACUUCUCAAUCACCUAUACAUUUCUAAAAAAUCAAUCCAAAGUUUGAAGGAAAGAAAGGCAUGGAAAAACAAAGUCCCUGAAGCCAAGAUCAAGAAAUAAGUUUGGUAUGUAGUCAGUGAAAAGAAAAACGUGUUGCUAAUAUGCAGCUCUGUGUCCACUGUCCAUAGGUCACUUUGGCUUCCAGAGGCUCAUGGUCUUAAAGUCCUCCCUUUAAGAGAGCAGGGUGCACUGGGCAAAGUACAAUGUCUGCUGCAUGCACAGUCCCCAGUUCUUUUGCCCUGGGGCCAAGGACAGCUACAUUAUCUCAGGCAACAGCGGUUAUCCAAGUUUAUGGAAAGGGUUCACGUAAGAUUUGCAGUCCCAUGAGGGUCAGUCUGCCUUGAGAGAUAGGCUGGGGUUUGUGUUCUCUCUCUCUUCUCAAGGAAAUUCCCCAUCCUUUUGACUUCUAUCUUUUUUUAUUGCCAUUCUCUGGACUUCUUCUAUUUCUACUUUCUUUUUUACAGGGAUGAGGUGACCAAAUUUGAAGACAGUAUUCAAAGUGAGGAUGUGCCACUGAUUUAUAUAAUGGCAUUAUAAUAUUUUCCAUAUUAUUCUCUAAAACUCUUUUCUUCAUACAAACCCCUUAAGAUUCUUUUUAAUUCUUUGAACUAUAGUGCCUUUUAACAUCUGUAGUUUACUCUGAUCAGAUUUUGACAAAGGAAUAAAAGGCUCCAUUUUUCACAUAGAAUUUUAUUUAUUGUUUGAACUUUAGAGGAGAAAUUGGUUAACUUACAAUUUAAAAUUCUUGGCAAUGUAGACCAUUGGACAAGGAUUUCAUUAUCAGCCCUUCUGUACUUUCUGUAGAAAUGCUUAAAGUUGGUGGACAGAGUCUUGGCUAAAAAGACUUUACUUUCGUACUAUAAACAUAGCCAAAGACUUAGUUUGGAGCUGCUAGCAUCCCCAAAGAUGUCAGAGAUAUCAUUGUUCUGUACCCCCUUCCUGAUGCAGUGUGCUGGGGCCAUGCAUUGACAUGUCAUCCAGCCAGAGUUGUGCGUGUGUGCAAGCGGUACCCAAAUGCCGUGAUCUUCUCUUUACCUUACCACGUACUUCCACAGUAGGUCAGGAAAAGACCCCUCUGAAAAUGAGGUGCUUGAUGACUGCAGAGGGUGAGAAUCUUGCUCUCAUGUCACAGCUGGGCGUGAUGCCUUCAUCAGGGUAUUAGAAAAGGCUCGAGGAAAACAGUUACAUCCAUUCUAUUGCUUAAGACACUUCCUGCAGCUACUGACUCGUCUUAGAGUUACCAAUCCAAAUGCUGACCCUGCCUGACCCUACUUAUCUUUUAAAAGCUGACAAGAUCACAGCCUGAAGCAGUAUAGCCACAGGCUCAAUACUGGCUACCAAAAUGUCUGUUUAGUAUUUUCAAAAACGCUGCUCUUAAGAUUUACAAUACAAGCUGCUGGAUGUAUGGACAACACUGAAACACAACCCUGACCCCUGAACAUUCAGCCCUACUUACACAGAAAUUUGUGCCUCUCGAGGGGCCAGCACUGAGUUGCUGCAAAACAGUUAUUCCCUACCUGCAAGUGAGCUGGAAUUAAAGCAUCAUAGGGUUGUAUGCAUUCAGAUACUGGGUAAAAAUAUUUGAAAACUACAGCCUUGAUUUCAGAAUUCAUUGACAACUUCUUUCAUUAGCUGCAUUACUGCUUUAACAGUAGAAAGAGUUCCGCCCUUUUUGUGUAAUAUCUUUUUUGGUUUAGUAUAGAAAAUCAUCCUAAUUCUUCUAUGACCAAAGCAGUUUUUCAUCAGAAGUUGUUUUUAGAUUAACUGUAAGUUUCUUCCCUAGCAGUAAAAGAAGCUCAUAUUUUUCUGAAUAUUUCUAAGGUUAAAUGGAUAAACACAGCUUUAAAUACUCAUGAAACACUAAGGGACCGAUCUAGUUGAGUUGUUUGUGCAUUCAUACAUGAUAUAAAUUCAUGGUUCUUGCAGGUUUUUUUUUUUUUUUUUUUAACAGCAAAGAUAUGGAAAAGACAAUUGAGGUCUUAUUGCUCCUGUUGGAAACUUCUGCCGACUACAGCAAGAGUUGGACUGGGCCCAGAGAAACCAGAUACAUACAAGUUGCAAUGAGUUGGCCACACAAGCAAGGAAAAUCACAGAUAACGGAUGCACACAAAUUAGUAAUGUACCUUUUAGGUCAUCCAGUACAGCUUGCUGACACAUUGAGAUUGUCUCCUAUGGCAUAUUUUUGGUUGCUUUGGAUGACUGGAUUAAAUGUCCUAAGUAAUGCCAUUUACUUAAGGAGAGAUUGUGCUGCCCAGUAUAUCCUGUUAGAAGUCUUUUUUUCCUUUCUUAACAUCAUCAUAUUUCUCCCAGUUUUGUUCCUUUGCAAACCUCCUUAUUUCCCUUCUGCGAUGCUAUUUUUUCUCCAGUGUCUUUAGACUAAUGUGAUGUUCCAUUUAGUUAACAUUAAGUCAGUUCAUACCUAUUUAGAUCAUUUAAUCUUUUCUGAUAAAUCAGUCCUUUCAGUCUCCUGGUUAUUUUCUCAUCUCCUCUUGUCCCACUCCUGUCUGUCAGUAGCUUUUUUAGCUAUGAUAUUUUAAAGAUGUGGUGCAUUUAUCUGAACUAACGGCAGGUUGGGCACAGACUUGAGCACCCUCAAUACCUUCUCACUGAAAACCACUCAAGGGAAGGCCACUGGCACUCUGUGCAAACAAGCAGGCAGAGCAUUCUGUUCAAACCAUUUCCUUGGUAUCACCUGUUUUACUGAUCAUCAACAAAAAACAUUUAAACAUUUAGCCUAGUGAUUCAAAAACCAAACAUGGGUCACUAUAGAUUAAUUAUAUUUUUUCAUAAUGCUAGGAAAUAUAAUGGCAGAGAGGAAAAUACAUUUGUUGUUGAUAUUUUCAAACUCUUGGUCGUGGAUAUCACAAUCUAAAAUUAUGGAAGAUGUUGUCUUGUCUAGUAACUAUAUUUGGGUGCCACUGGAGUACACUGUAGAAAGUAAUUAUAUAUGUAGUCACAAGCGUAGCUGUUCACGUCAGGCAAUAAAUUCUGAUCAACAAACAACACUCCUUUAGUGCUAAAUGAAAUCUUGGCUGUAAUUGACUGUCUUUACCUUUGUGUUCUGUUGGAUUGGAGGAAUAUCAUUUUAAUCUGCUCUCUUUAAAUUUUCAUUAAGGAACGUUUCAGCUACCUGCAGCCUCGUCUGAUGAUGUUUAAUGAUAUAAGCUAGCACGUUCUUCCGUGCACCGGCAGGGGCUUCUUUAAAUUGGUCAACCGUACAGAACAUUGUUUUCGUGUUUAAUGUACUUGGAAUCAACCUUUUAAAAUAAUGAUGUCUCUACAGACAGUUUAUAUACGUAGCACACACACAUAUGUGCAUGUGUAUGUAUGCAUAUAUACGCGUAAGUGCACACAUACAUAGAGAAACACUGAUCCUAUUCACCUUCUUGAAAACAUUUCAGCUAGUAUUAGCAUAAAUGUGCUGUUAAGUUGGCAGUGUUAUACAUUUUUGUUGGAGUUUACUUCUGUAACCUAAAAUCAAGCAGAUAAGCUGUGAAACUCAUGCAGCUGAUGACAUAACGCUGGGAUCUCAUGAUGCUGAAUCUCAUAUUUCUAGGCAUAAAGGAUGGAUGUUCCUUUCUGGAAUUAUUAUGCUGCCUAUUGCAAUAUAUGUUUUCUUGUUUUCAUGUGGGCACUGAGAUGUUCAAA